CAGUUCGGACUGUAGGCUGCAACUCGCCUACACGAAGUUGGAAUUGCUAGUAAUCGUGGAUCAGCAUGCCACGGUGAAUACGUUCCCGGGUCUUGUACACACCGCCCGUCACACCAUGGGAGCUGGUAACACCCGAAGUCAGUAGUCUAACCGCAAGGAGGACGCUGCCGAAGGUGGGAUUAGCGACUGGGGUGAAGUCGUAACAAGGUAAC
rnacentral:rRNA from 1 species